GACGAACGCUGGCGGCGUGCCUAAUACAUGCAAGUCGAGCGAAUGGAAGGGAGCUUGCUCCCUGAAGUUAGCGGCGGACGGGUGAGUAACACGUGGGCAACCUGCCUGUAAGACUGGGAUAACUUCGGGAAACCGGAGCUAAUACCGGAUACGUUCUUUCCUCGCAUGAGGAAAGAUGGAAAGAUGGUUUCGGCUAUCACUUACAGCUGGGCCCGCGGCGCAUUAGCUAGUUGGUGGGGUAAUGGCCCACCAAGGCGACGAUGCGUAGCCGACCUGAGAGGGUGAUCGGCCACACUGGGACUGAGACACGGCCCAGACUCCUACGGGAGGCAGCAGUAGGGAAUCUUCCGCAAUGGACGAAAGUCUGACGGAGCAACGCCGCGUGAGCGAAGAAGGCCUUCGGGUCGUAAAGCUCUGUUGUCAGGGAAGAACAAGUGCCAGAGUAACUGCUGGCACCUUGACGGUACCUGACCAGAAAGCCACGGCUAACUACGUGCCAGCCGCCGCAGUAAAAC
rnacentral:rRNA from 1 species